AAAAUAUAGAGACUAAAUAGUAAUAUACCCAUUGAGAUAGCUGUAUGCAGUAGAUUUGGAGAGCAAGGGUUUAAAGAUUUAGUUAAUGCAUUUAUGAGGUUGAGGCAAGAAGGUAAUGUUAAGGAAUAUCAAGAUAAGUUUGAAGACCUUAGGGUGAGAAUGGAAAGAUUAAUGCUUGAGUAGGGAAAGGCUUAUUUCAUAUUUGGAUUUAUUGGGGGAUUAAGGGA
rnacentral:misc_RNA from 1 species